AAAUCUUGGCUGAGACUUUGCCUGCUGAAGUCGAUGAGCUUCAAAUUACAAAGGACUUGAAGCAACACGUUCAAGGAUUUCAUUCUCAGCAGGCAAACGUAUUCCAACAACUCAUACCGGUUCAACUAGUCGCAGGGCCUAAGUUAGUUUUGCACUUAUAUCCCGCAGCAGCCUACGAAGAAGCUCAAGAAAUUAGAUUUGCUU
rnacentral:misc_RNA from 1 species